rnacentral:snRNA from 1 species
GCGCUCACUUAGCACAUACACUAAAAUUGGAACGAUAUACAGAUCAGCAUGACCCCUGCACAAGGAUGACACACAAAUUCAUGAAGUAUUCCACAAUUAA